rnacentral:sRNA from 1 species
GACAGUGGAACGAAAGCUAAAAUCAUCACGUCCUGUGAUAACGCCUUCGUGACCAACAUCGGUGCUGUUGC